rnacentral:lncRNA from 1 species
UCUCAUUCACAUGUCCAACAUGACAACAUUGGAAGAAGAAUCAUCCAUCCUGGAAUUCAUUCGCCAGUUUCUUCUCGGAGACUUUACCUCCUUAGACGACCCAAAUCUCUCUUUUCUCCAGCCUAUCGAGUCAGAAUUCCCUGUGAUCAAAUCCGAACCCGACUCCCCCACCCUCUGUGAAAUAAUAAAACCUGAAACAUUGGACAUAACGUGUUUGGGUUCCAGUAAUUGGACAACAUCACCUCAAAAGUAUGGAGAGAAUAUGGUAGAAGAGCACUGCUCGAGGACGGCGGCGUAGAACCUGAGCCGCCUCCGGGUGGCACAGUAGAUGCUGAACCUCCAGUGGAGGUGGAAGAAGUAGUAGGACUUUGGCCAGGAGCUGCAGAUGGACUAGCGCCGGGGCUUCCAUCGGACUCAACUUCAAUCCUAAGUCUCUGGCCGGCUUGGCAAUGACCUGGUAUUCCGCAAAUGAAGUAAUAGAUACCGGGCGCAUUGAGAGUGAUGGCGUCAGAGCCUGAGAUGUGAUGUUUUAUCGAAGCUUUUGCAUUGCAUGCAACGUAAUCUGCCUCAGUCACUUCAUGCACGUCGUGCAUGGCGUUGUUAUACUUGAAAACUGCAUUAAUUAAGCCAUGCAAUUAGGAGAUACAUAAUUAACCGUGUAGUUGUAUAAUAUUCUCGGUUCUUCACAAUGCAAUAUAUAAGAAAUUGCUCAAACAGUAGAAUUAUAAAUAACAGAUUGUGUACGUAGGUGCGCCUUUAGUACUUAGGGUUUGAGCAUAUAUUACUCUGUCAGUCUAUUUGCAAUAAUUACCCAAAAGAUUCAUGUAGUAUAUCUGUUUCGGUUGAAAUAUGCUCAAUUAUUCUAUAUUUUUCACCUAUUAAGAAGAAGAGAUGCAAGAAUGGGUCAGCAGAUAUGCUAGCUAUCGUAGGUCUUUGCUGUAGAGCCUGUACCCAGUGGAAUUUUCCUCUGUUUGAGAUAAAAUCUCUCCUCUAGAGCGAUGCAAAGGAUUUUCGAAGAUGUGAAUUUUGUUAAUUUGCUUCUUAUGCUUUAGUGCCAUAUAUUUUUUGAAGGUAUGGAUUGUUACGUCCCUGCUAAAUAGUUGCGCUUAGAUUUUUCAUUUUGCAAAUAAAAUUUUCUCGUUCUAUCGAAGUUUAACCCCCCAAAAAAAAAAUAGUGGAACAAAUCACAAACUCACCGAGGGUAUCACCAACUUUGAAUUCUUUUCCAUCUACCCAUGAAUAGUAAUCAACUUUGCCUUGUGUCGUCCAGCCGGUAUUGUCACCAACGGUAUAAGUAGUAGCUGCCACGGAGGCUCCAAGGAGAGCCAUGAUUGUUAAGGAAAUCACAGCACUCUUUGCCAUUGCCAUUAUUACUUUAUUAUACUGUUUUAAAAUUAAUUACCAAAACUUCUAAUAACGAGAGAGUUUAUAUAGGCUUUGGUACUUCUUUGCCACCAAGCAUUGCUGUCUAUAUUUAGCUUGAGACUGGUGUUUUAUCCGAGCGAUGUGCAAGGAAAUGAUCGGAAAACAAAAUAUCUAACUUGGACUAUUUAAAAAUAGGAUACAAGUAAUGAAAUUAAUUACUGGAAUAACAGAAAUAACUGUAAUAAUGGGAAAUAACAGAAAAAAUUAUGGAUGUGUUUGUACAUCCCUUUUGAUUCAUCGACCCAUUUUUUUUAUAAAAAAAAAUCACGAGUUAUAAGUCCAUAAAAAUAUUAGAGAAUCUAAAUGGAUUCUCACCGUUCAUUGCUCUUUUAAAUGUUAAUCUAUUCCACGUUUAUAAGCAUAAUAUCUACGAUUUUUAUCAUAUUUACUGGCAACCAGUGGCGGACCCAGGAAUUUAAGCCAGACGGGGCUUGCUAUAAAUUAUCUUCUCUAAGUAUUCGUUAUUUCACUAGUUUUCAUAACUUAGAAGAAAACAUGGCUGAUAAGAAAAAAAAAAUUACUUAUGAAUAAUCUGCAAAUCUUACUGCAUAACAUUGGGUUUGAUAUAUUUUGAUUAUCCUCAGACUAGUUUAUUAUUUUAUUUGUCAGUACAGCAUAAUCAUCAUUAACAAUUAAAAAAAUGCUGAGUAAAAUUUUUUAUUUUUGUUUAUUUAAAAAAACUUUUUGAUUUAAUUUCAUAAUAUUUUUCCAAAUGAGUUUCUUAAUCAUCUUGAAUGCAGUAGAUCUAAAGAGGAUAUAAGAAAAGAAUUGAGAAAAAGAGCCAUAAGCACUAAAUUUUAAAACCAAGUAUGUUGUUCUAAUAAGUGUUUUAGAAUAAACUGUAAAAAUAUUUUACUAAAGAGUGAGACUACUAGCAGCCCUCCAAAAUCUUUAUAAACCUCUAUUGAGGUACCUAAAGAACACUGCUAACAUGUGUUUACAAUUCUAAAAGUCAGAACACCUUGAUUUAGUACCUUACACAGAUGCCGGAAAUGAGAAUCUUUGUACAAAAUAUUUUCAGAAGUAUUUAUGAAUAAUUAUCAAAUAUUUGAUUAACUACAAAUCUCAAUUUUUAUUUAACUAUAUUUCUUUCUUUUUGUUUUUUACCAGUUUUAAAUUUAAAUAUUUGGGACCGAAAUUUUUCAACAUAUCAAAGCAUUAGGGAAAAAAGCUGUCUUAUUUUAAAUCAAUAAUGGAACUUUACUAAAAAAAUUAAUACCGGCAAUGAUCGAUCAGACAAUCAUACAGGGGUGUAGUUAAAGAUUAAGGCUUAACUUUAAGUUUAUGUGAAAAGAGGCCUCUUGACUAAAGCAUAUUUGAAAUUGGGGGAUGUCGAGGAAUUUUGUUGGAUCUUAACAGUUUCACACUUUGAAAUUUGAAAACACAAAAGGGGCUUACAAUUUUCAUUUAAGGCAAUUUCAAGGCCCUGAGUGGGUCUGCUUGUGCUUGCAAUUAUGUCUGACUCUAAUUAUAUUUGGAGUAAUGCACUAAUUUCAAUGGCUCUAAUAUUUGGGCCCUAACUAGUUUGACAACUUAUUUGUAAUUAGCAUAUCAACUAUAUUAGGAUGUAACAGGUAGUAGCGGUUUUAGCAUUAAACAAAUUAAGCAGCUUUUCAGGCUUCAAUGCUUCAUAUUUAGAUAGUUAUCAAUUUUUAAGUAUCUAUUUGUUAAUUAGUAUAAGUAAUAAUUUUUUUAUGAUACUAAAAUAGUUUAAGUUAUUUAUAUAUUUUAAGAGUCCAGCUAUGUUUGGCACCCUAUUUUUUGCCUUUUUCAAAGGAUAAUUUUUGGAUACCUCCCCUGAGAUUUGCACCUGCUACACUUAGAGAGAAUGCUUGCAUAUAUUGACAUAUAGCACCUUUGAAGGUAUAUAAGUGUUAGAGUGCCGUUUGGUAGUUAAGGGUAAAAAUGUAAUUGCAAUAAUUUAAAUUUUUUAAACUAUAAAGAAUUUAUUGACCGAUUAAACAAGUCACUAUGCACCAGAACGCACAGUGAGUAAAUGAAAAAUCACUAUGCACUUUGAAUACAAAGCAUGGAACCAUGUGAAAACUAAGGGGGGAGCAACCCAUCUCCACUUCUUCUCAUCGACUUCACUUGAAAAUAUAUAAUACCCACUUGAUUCAGCUCAAAUGAACUUGUGAUAUAGUGAGAAAUAACCUCUCUGCGAUUAAGCAUGUUAAGAAGUAAAUUAUGUCGGCGGCCAACGUCUAAGCAGUCAAUCAUUGAAGAGCAUAAGGUGUGUAUUUCCAUUGAAACUUGAAGCUUAAUUUUGGGUUAAUUUUCGUCUUGCAUUUUGUUCAAUAGGAUGCUAGGUUGUGCUUCAAUUAAUUGAGAAGAUUGUAUAGCGUUCUGAAAAUUUGAAAUAGUUAUCGAAAUAAGUUGAAAAUCACUAUAAAAUUUUGGGUAAAAUACAAAAAACAUUUGAUUUUUUAAGAGAUAAGAAAGUGAGGAUCUGAGUGCCUGCUAAAUUUGACUUGCUCUGCUCUUCAUAUUAAAAAAAAAAAAACUUGUUGCUGGAAAUGCAAAGUUGUUACUACCGAGAAUGGUUAGUGAAUUUUUUCUUAUUUUUUGUUUUCGGUAAUAGUUUAUAGGUCAUGCUAAUAAAAUGAUGAUUGGCUACUAUCUUUUGUAAGUUGUACUUAAGAUAUUCGUCAAAAAUUAGUUAUAGAGGUUACAGUAAACUUGUUUCUCAAUAGAUUGAUACUUGGGUACAGGGGGAAGAUAAAGACAUGCAUUGUUUGUUCAUAAAUUUAUCCUUUUAUGAUUCAACCUGUUUUAAAAUAGGGUAUCUAUGUAUUUUAGUCUAUUUCAACAUCCUUGUUCUACUGUCUUUCUUCCACUUUGCAUCUUUUUAUAGUUUUACAUACACAUCGCAUUGUUAUGCACUUUGCCCAUUAAUUUAGGAACUACAUAUAUUGUUAUCAAUCUAGUACUGACAAUGUGUUACUCUUUAUCAACUUGAUCAUUUGAUCCAUAAUGAUUGUUACACCAACACAUACUAUAACAUACAUCUAGUUUUAGGUACAUCUUUUAUAUUUUUUAAUAAUUAUUCACAAAUAAUAAUAAUUCACUCAUCAACUGAAUAAAGUCAUAGCUCAUGCAUUUUCUGAUUUUUUGUGUGAAGUUAUUUUUAAGAUUGUUGAUGAAGUAAAUGGCAUUGAUUAAGGCUAAUUACUUUUGUCAUUGUUUAUGAAGCUUAGUAUACUUUGACAUUGAGGCAAUGAUAGAUGGUGAAGUUUUUGCAAUUGGUCUUGUUAUUCUAGAUCACUAUAGCCUGCAUAAAAUAUAGGUUGAUAGUAGGGAUGUUUGUUGGGGUCACCCUAUUAGGGAUGCGAAUGGGAUAAGGGUUCCAGUGAUGUUUCCAUGGCAGACUGAGCAGCAAACAUUACUAACUAAUAAAGACUUGCUAGGGGCAUUUGAACAACUCAGAGUAAAGGGGUAUAGUUGGGCAAGAUUUAUGGUCACACUUGAUGAAGACUUUUUACCAUCUUUUUCUUCAAUGGUCCAACCAAGUGAAACACAAACAGAGGUAGUCCUAAAUUUGAAUGAAAAUGAAACCUUAGCAGAUAAGUGCACACAACAAUUGAACAAUGAUGUGGAAAUUGGAAACGGAGAGAAGGAAAAUUAUUCUAAGGCAUUUUUAGAUGAAUUUGAAUAUGAUUAUAAUGCUGAUGGCUCUGAUCUAGGUGGUUUUGACCCAGAUGGCUCUGAUCUAGAUGAUGCUUUUAGAGAUUAAGGUAACAACUGUGAUGAUCUUGAAGACUACGAAUCUGGGGAUGAUAGUAGAGAUGAGUUAUAUGAUGAUAUUUUCAAAGAACAAGCUUGUAAUAGAUAUGAAAAGAGUGCUGGUGGUUUUGAGUUUAGUUCUGUUGGCUAUGAGAUAGUAUUGAGAUCAUGACAAUUGUUUGUCAAUGUGUGGGAUUUUAAAAAAGUUUUGAAGGCGUUCGCAAUUAGGAAUGGAUUCAGACUGAAGAGGUUGAAAAUGAGAAGAUAAGAGUAACAUGUGCGUGUGCAGCACCAAAUUACACUUGGAGAAUCCAUGCAAGUCCUAAUUAGAACCGAAGGUCGUUCCAAAUUAAGACUUACUGCCCAUGGCACACCUGUCCUAGAGUUGAUGACAAUUAUGGAGCAACUUUAGAUUGGAUAGUAGCCACAUAUCUGCAUCUAUUCAAAGCGAAUCCUGACUUGAAAAUUUCUGUUAUUGUGGCUGCUUUGAUGCAGAGUUAUAGAAUUGAAUGCAACAAUCAAAUGCUAUAUAAGGCUAAAAGGAAAGCACUUAAGUUACUCGGUGAAGACCACAAGACUAGUUACAGUAAAUUGUUUAGAUAUAUGCAUGCCUUAUUAAAUUUCAAUCCUAAUUCCAUUAUCUCUCUUGGAAGGAUUGGCUUGGUAGUGCUCAAUUUCCCACAUUUAAGAGGUUCUUCUUGUGUAUAUAUAGAUAGUAGUAGAAAAGGGAUUUAAUUAAAAGUGCAUGCCAUUAAUUUGGGGUAACAAUUGUCACUUAAAAGGACUAUACAAAAGUGUACUCCUAACAACUGUGAGCAUUGACGCAAAUAAUGAGAUUUAUCCUUUAGCUAUAUGUGUGGUUGAGUCUAAGAAUAAUGAGUAAUGAUAGUAUUUUAUGGAGAAACUAUAUGAUCAAGUGGGUUGUAAUGGUGGUGAAAGUUUAUAUUUUAUGAGUGAUAGACAAAAGGAUGUCCUCAAUGCCUUGGAUAGAGUGUUCCCUUUAUCAAUAAAGAGAUACUACUAUAGAUACAUUUAUGCAAACUUUAAGAACAAGUUUCCCGACUUGUUACUGAAGAAAGUGUUAUGGAGAGCAUGUAGGAGUUCUAACGCUGCUGACUUUAAUUCCCACAUGGAAGAACUAAAGACUAUAACUCCGGAUGGCUAUGAAUGGUUGAUGAAAAUUCCCAUUGCAUGUUAGGCAAAUCGUUUGUUCCUCCCUCACACCAAAUGCAGCCAUGUUACUAAUAACAUGAUUGAAUCCUUCAACAAUUGGAUCAACAAUUUCAGAGGUUUGCCAAUUGUAAGGAUGUCUGGGGAAAUACAAAGGAAAACCAUGCAGUUGAUUUAUAAAAGGCACGAGGCAGCCCUUGAAUGGAAUUGUGAGCUUUCAUAAGUUGUGAUAAGGAAGAUUAUUGAGAGAAUAGUAGAAGCAAAGUCACUCUCUGUCAUCUUUGGGCAUAAUGAGACAUUCGAGAUACUCGAAGACAUGACAAAAAUCACUGUUUUUGAUCUGUUGAGGAAGAAAUGUGACUAUGGUGAAUGGUGUAUUUCUGGACUUUCUUGCAAACAUGCCCUCUGUUGCAUAUAUACAAAGAGGUAUCAUGUGGAAGACUAUAUACAUCCAUAUCUUAAAAAGGCAGCUUUCAUUGAGACUUACAAACAUCAAUUUAAACCAACUCUUGAUGAGAAAAAGUGCCCACUCAUACUUUAUGACAAUUUGCAGCCACCAACAACUAUAAAGACAAUUGACAGACCUCAAACUAAUAGAAGGAAAGAAAAUGGUGAAUCUUCAACCUUCUAGAGAAGCUUAAAUGUAAGGUGCUUUCACUAUGACUAGUGAGGACAUAAUAAGAGGACCCACCUAAGGACAACUAGUGAUUAUGAGCAAAAAAAAAUUAUGGAAAAGGUAAAACAAUUUAUUAAAAUUAAUCUUAAUUUUAACAUAAAAUUACACCUGAUCACUGAAAUAAUUAAUAAUUUUUAUUUUGUGAGGCACCAAUUGCUCAGACUAGUUCAAAUAUAAGAAAUAUAAUGAGCCAAACACAGUCAUCUGCCCAUGAUAAUGGUAAUAUUAAUGUUGGAAAUAUCUGUAGUGAAUAAACAAUCUUAAUUUUGUAGUUCUAUUGUCAUUAAACUUAAAGCAUCCGGCAAAUUUAAGAACAUAGAGCUAAGAAUAUAUGAGAAGAGAAAGCAUGUUAUCUAACCCCAUAUUCUUUUUUUUUUUUUUUUACAGAGAUCAGAUGAUGCAACACUUUUGCAAUACCCAAGUAUCAAAAGAUGGUGUAUCAUCUCUUGUUCACUUAACAUAUAAGUUUGAGUUCUUUUUAUUGAUAUUUUGUUGAAAUGUAGAAACUUUUAUACUAAUGCCAAAAAAUAGGUCCUAUAUGUCUUUCUUGACUUAAUUACAGCAACCUAUUAUGAUAGAUAGUUGCUUUAUUGCAUAUUUAUAUGGUGUACUUAUGUCAAUUGUAAGGGUUGGGUGUGUUAUUGUCUAAGAAAAUGAAUGUUCAAAGUCAAUUUUUGCUAGAAUGCCAAUUAUAUUAUAGUUUGAUUUAAAUUUAUUGUUGUUGCCUAUUGUUUCUGCUCAUACAUUAAGAAUGGAUUCUAUUGUUAUUUCUUAUUAUUUUAAUAAUCUGCUGAUGUUGAGAUGAAGUUCAAUUGAUUUAUAGAAUAGAGGCUUAGUUUGGACAGUGAGCUAGUGAAAUAAUAGUUUAUUUUGAAGUGUCUUGGUUUGUCAAAUAUGCAAUUGUGCUUUAUAAUUGCUUCUUUGGUUUAAAUAGUUAGAGACUUUUUUUACUGAAAUUGACUACCCAGUAAACAAUUGAUUGGAACUUAUUUUACAUGGAUUUGGUUUCACAAGUCUCUGAUCAUACAUUAGGAAUGGAUUUUGUUAUUGCUUAUUGAUAACUCUAUGAAAUGAGAGUUAUUAUGGCAAUUCUAGGCUUUAAAUCAAGAUCACUUAGAGAGUAAAUUAUGUGUUUCUAUUGCAUUUUUGUUUCAUUUUGCAUAAAUAAUCAUUUUAGUUAGUUAGCACAAGAGGAGAAUUUGCAGAAAUCAAUUAAUCAAUCAUUCUUAUUCUUCUCUUGUUUACUCGUUUUAUAUUUAUUUAUGGGGAUGUGUUUCAUGGCUGAAACUUUGUUCUUUAUUUUUCUUUUGCAAACCAUGAACUAAAUUUAUCUGUGGUUGAGUGAUAAACAAUCUUGAUGGUUUAUUGACUGAAUAUAUGUGUUGCUGCAUGUUUGGUGUAGCAGUUUGUUUUGAUAGUAUUUAUGUUUAUUCAUUAUUUCGAUUGAUCACUCAUUUAAUGAUACAAGUUAGGAGAGAGCUGCAAAAUGACAUAUCUUAGGGGAACAUAUCAGAGUAAUACUUGGUUUUAGAUUGAGUUUUUUGGAUUGAGUUUAACUUAUCCCAAAAGGAUCAUACUUAAUCUAAAAUUAGUGAUGAACUAGACAUAGAGAUUCACCUUGUAGGGUAAAUAGAACUUAAGCGUGUAAUGCUAUAUCUUAUGUUGGCAUAAUAAUUUAUUACUGUUAGAUAGCAUAUAGAUAUAAGAUAUCCAACAUGUGACGGCUAAGGAUGCAUAAGGAUUCUGCCCAGUGCUGUAGUAGAUACUGCAGCAACCGAGCCAGCCAUUAAAAAAUAGUCAAGACCAUUAGGAGAGUUUAUUCACUCAACUACUCUAUAUUCCCAUUGGUUUUAUCCUUAAGCUUGACGUGAUAAUUUACUUUGUUGCAUUUUAAUUAUUGCGUUUUAUUUUAAUUAGUAUAUUAAUUUCAUUAAUUGUUUUAUCUUAAUUUACAACAAAAUCUGCACUGUUAAUAUUGUUGUAACAAAUCUGAUAACAUCAAUCCCUGUGGAGACUAUCUUGAAUACUCAUCACUUUAUUACUUGUUGUGUACACUUGCACAUUGACACCAAUAGCAUUAGUAUUUAUACCCAAUACUUAUUAUUUCAAUAAUCUAUUGAUGUUGAGAUGAAAUUCAAGUGAUUCACAUAAUGGAGGCUUAGUCUGGACAAUGAGCUAAUAAAACACAAUUUGUAAUUGAUUUUUUUCCUUUAAACAGUCAUACACACAAGUCAUAAUAAGCUGAAAUUCUUUGCAUUCAUACACAACAAGUUACAAAAAGAUCAAUUGAUUCAUCUUCAUGGCAGUACUUGUUCAUUAGGUACUUUAGGUACAAGUACAUGCAUUGGUUGCAUAAUGCUUAUGUUGCAACUAUAACUACACCCAUUAUUAAAAGUACAACAAUAAAAAUGAAAAAAAAAGAAGUUCAAGAACAAAAUUAUCUUAAUACCACUGCCUUUGCCCUCAUUGUUACGUGUAUCUUGCAUGUGUGAUUUCGAUUCCUUCAAAUUUUUUACAUAAUCAGUAGCAACUCAUAAUUUGCAUGACAUGUUCCUACACCUUUAAAUAUUUCACCUCGAUUGAAGUCAUUUAAGGAUGGCAUCUAGAACUUGAAAUAACCACAACCAUGUUUACUGCCCGUACAACAAUAGUAUAGCUUAUUUGGGUUGUCAUUUGAUUCCAAAAUCUUCAAACUAGCUCUUUUGUUGAACCUGCAUAUCUUAUUUGCAAAUCGAAUGAGGUUUCCAUUAAUCUCAUCCCUCCAUCCUCUGCAUCAUUGGUUGCUUGAUCCUAUGGUUUAAAUUUUGACAUAUAAAUCGAUAAUAUUUUAAAUUUUUUACACUAUUAAAAUAGAUUUCGAGUUAAAUGAUUUAUUUUUACAUUUAUAAAAUAUAUGUAUUUAAAUUAAUUAAUUUUCUUAGUAAUUAAUGAAUUAAUUAAUUUAAUAUAUAGUUAAACUAUAUUUAUUAUUUAAUAACUGUAAUUGACGAUAAAUAUAAAUACAAUUUUUUUUAAUUUAUCAUAACUGUAAUCAAUUUUCUCUCACCCAUUUAAGCAGGGUUCAAACUCCGUAUCCUUUUUUUUUUAAGAACAAGAGGUUUUACUAUCUCAAGUAGAUGAAAUGUACAAAAUAUGAAAAUGAAUUUAAUUUCAUAUUCUAUGUAGUUAAUGUUUUAUUAUUUUUUUGAAAUAUAACAUUUAUUUAACAUAGUAUCAAUUAUUUGAAUAUAUGAUGAAAAUAUAUUAGUUUACUAAUAAUAACAAAGUGUUAGUUUAAAAAUCUGCAAAAUCAUUUUUGUUUGCUUGAACAAGGACUUUUGUAUUGUCCAAAUUUGACAAUUUUGUGAUGUUGGAGUAUUGUGUUCAUGCUGAUAUAUUCAAAAGGUGCUUGUGACAUAGGUCUUGACUUCUAGAGGUCUUGGCUUCUAGAGACAUCACUGUAAUUGAAAAUUUGUAGGUAAAAGAGAAAUGUGUCAAAAUUUAAAAGUCCUUGGCUUUUUUGUUUUUAUAACAAAUAUCAAGACUCCAUUAUAGUUGACUUAGAAAAAGACAAAAAAGGGGUAACACACCUAUGUGCCAACAUAGUUUUGCCCUAUAUUAUGGGAAAACUAAUAUUUAGGCUUUACCUUAUUAUUACUCCUAUUCAUAAUUAUCUAUCUUAUUUGAUAAUCUUAUUCUUAAAAAUAAGAUAUAUUUUUAUGGUAUAUGUUGGUGUAUAAAUACUAAUGCUAUUGGUGUCAAUGUGCAAGUAUACACAACAAGUAAUAAAGUGAUGAAUAUUCAAGAUCGUCUCCACAGGGAUUGAUGUUAUUAGACUUGCUACAGCAAUCUUAACAGUGCAGAUUUUGUGUCUAAAUUAAGAUAAACAAUUGAUGAACUUAAUUUACUAAUUAAAAUAAAAACACAAUAAAUAAAAUGCAACAAAGUAAAUAUCACGUCAAUCUCAAGGAUAAAAUCAAUGGGAAUAUAAAGUAGUUUAGUGAAUAAACUCUUUUAAUGGUCUUGACUAUUUUUUAAAUGUUUGGUUCGAUUGCUACAACAUUUUCUACAGCACUAGGCAGAAUCCUUAUGUAUCCUCAGCCGUCGCAUGUUGGAUAUCUUAUAUCUAUAUGCAACCUAACAGUGAUCAGUUGCUAUUUACCCUACAAGGUGAAUCUUUAUGUUUAGUUCAUCACUAAUCUUAAAUCAAGCAUGUCCCUUUUGGGACUCAAGUAAAACUCAAUUCGGGAAACUUAAUUUAAGAUCAAGUAUUGUUCUUAUAUGUUCCACUAAGAUAGGCCCUUUUGCGGUUCUCUCCUAACUUGUAUCAUUAAAUAGGUGAUCAACCGAAAUAAUGAAUAAAAAUAAAUACUAUCAAAACAAACUGCUACAGCAAACAUGCAGCAACACAUAUAUUCAGUCAAUAAACCAUCAAGAUUGUUUAUCACUCAACCACAAAUAAAUUUAGUUCAUGAUUUGCAAAAGAAAAAUAAAAAACAAAGUUUCAGCCAUGAAACACAUCCCCAUAAAUAAAUAGAAAACGAGAAAACAAGAGAAGAAUAAGAAUGAUUGAUCAAUUGAUUUCUGCAAAUUCUCCUCUUGUGCAGCCCUUAAUCUCUCUCUUGAAUCUUGUUUUUCUUUUGUUUCUUUGUGUUUUUCUCCUUGGGUGACGGCUUUCCUAUUCCUUAUGAUGUGUACUUCUUUUAUAAUUGAAAAUUAGGGUAAACGGAAUCCUAGGGCACGCAUUAGUCAGAUUAGGAAACUGUAGAUCGCAAUUCCUUAUGAUGUGUACUUGUUUCAAUUCUUUUGCAGCUAAGUUUUUCCUCAUUUUUACAAGCCUAUUGUAUCAACAUUCAUUCUAUGAAUUAUAAGCUUCUGGAAACCUACAAUUAUGUACACAAUUUAAGCACGAAUUACUUUAAAUUAAGCAAAACUCAUUAAGACUAAACUAAAAUGAAUAUUUAUGCAAAAUGUAACAAAAAUACAAUAGAAACACAUCAUUUACUCUCUAAGUAAUAUUAAUUUAAGUCUAAAAGUGCUAUGAUAACUCUCAUUUCAUAGAGUUAUCACACCCCCAAACUUAAACCAUUACUUGUCCUCAAGUAAUGACAACAACGCUAACACUUCAAUCACACAGUCAUGCAACAAAUAACUUAGCUCUAUCAUCAAAUUUGCAAGAAUUUUUCCACCCUCAGAUCACAUUCUUAAUCACGCAAAAUAGAUCAAAUUCCAGAGGUGCUACAACAUUACAGAAACAUUGCAUAUAAUUCAAAGGUAGAACACAAAUAUAUUCACAUUUGGGGGAGCAGAAAUCAAAAAUAUACUCAAACUGUGCUACAACAGUAAUAAAAAAAAUUUUUUUCAGUUAAACCCUUCAAUGCAACAUUGAGCUUUCAUGUGAAUGUCUAUCACUUGCAAUGACGACACCCAAUUACUCAUUCAAAUUACAUGUCAGAGUUGCUACAGCAACGCAUUUAGGAUGUUAUAUCUAGGUCUUACCUUUGGACGCCUUUGACUCAAGGCUGAACAUGAGGCUCAUGAACAGAUCAUGUUACUCAGUAUCUUAGGUAGCGGACCUCUUUAUUUUUUAUUCCUUCAUCACAAUUUUUUUUUUUUUGCUUUGCUUUUUGCUUUUUUUAUAUAUAUAUAAUUGCUGCAGCACAGCUCAUAACUCUUGUUGCCUUUGGACUCAAGUUUGCAUAUGGGGUGUAAACUCAACCUUGGUUACUCAACAACUUAAACUAUUGGAGCAGAAUUUAUUUCAUAACAGGCACAAUCCAACAAAAAUUUUCCCCUAAACUUGAGAUAUUUUCUACUCUUUUUUUGGUUUUCCUCGCUCUCUAUAGCAUUCUCAUAAAACUGAACCAAAGUCUAAGUGUCGGGACAGAAAUUCAACCUCUAUCUAUAACUAUCUCUACUUGGCAUUCUCAUAAAUACUGAAUAACACUCAAUUUAUCUUCAUUAGGUUUUCAAAUCCAUACAAAAAUAUUAGAUAACAGAGCUUCACACAACACACAACACAAACAUAAACACAUGCACUCAGAAACACAACCCCCCCAAACUUGAGUGGUGUUGUGUCCUCACAAGCACACAAAACAAAACCACAUAAAUCAGACAUGCAUACACUAAAUAAAAGAACAUGUAGAAUGAAUUAGAAAAUUAAAACUAAAUGAAAGAAAAGUUUUAUAGAAAGAAGUAAAAUAAACUAGCAGGUAGGGAGGUACUCCCCUGUUGCUGGAAGCACUGCUGCAUCAUAGGUUGUAAAGGGUCACUUCUUCUUUGAUCCACUUCUUAAACGCUCCUUAUCAUAAAAUCUGAUCAAUUCAUUUGCUGCUGUAAAAGCAAGAAUGCCUCUGUUGUUUGAGAAUCUUCUGUUAUGUCAUACUGUAAGUGAUGCUGCAACAAUUCCCUCCUGCUCUUUUUGCCCACACAUUGUUUUUUUACUUGCUGCAAUGUAACAUAAAGACAUAAAAAAUUAGAUGCACACUUAAAAUAAUAAAAAGACAAAUUAAAUAAUUUAAAAGCUAAAUUCAAUGCCAUAAAAACUUGAAACAACUUCCCUUAUUGGGUUGUCUCCCAAUUAACGCUUGAUUUUAGGUAUUUCAGCCUGACCUUUCUUGUUUCCUCAACCUGGAUCCUUCAAGAACCGAUCAUUCUUUAGGUUGUUCAUAUCAUCUCUCAUAUAGUACUUCACUCUCGGCCCAUUAACCUUGAAUUCUUGUUGGUCUGGAGUGAGUCCCCUUUGCUGGAUUUGCUUGUCAAUUCUGAAAGGUUGUUUCUCCCACGACCAUGAUAUGUUAGCUGCUUCAUGAUUUUCAUCAUCAAGUUCUUCAAAUGUUACAACAUUAAUUUCUUCCUUACUACAACAACUGUAUAAUCUCUCUGCUACAAUAAAGUCCACAACACUAAUAAAAUUACAAUCUUCAAUCUCAUCAAGACUCUUCAUGGCAUCCAGCACAUUGAAUGUAACUUGCUGGUCAUUUACCCUCAUGGUUAAUUCUCCUUUUUGAACAUUAAUUAAAGUCUUUCCCGUGGCUAAGAAAUGUCUCCCUAAAAUGAUUGGCACUUCUUUGUCUGCCUCAAAGUCUAGCACAAUGAAAUCCACCAGAAAAAUAAAUUUAUCUACAUUCACCAACACAUCUUCAAUCUUCCCUUCUGGAUAGACAUGAGAUCAGUCAGCAAGUUGUAAAGUCACUGUUGUUGGUCUACAUUCACCAACUCCCAAUUACUUAAACACUGAUAAAGGCAUGAGAUUGAUGCUAGCCCCCAGAUCACAAAGUGUUUUGCCACUGUAUUCAGUGCCUAUGGAUCAUGGAAUUGUGAAGCUUCCUAGAUUCUUCAUCUUCUGUGGUAUCUUACUCUGAAGCAUUCGGUUGCACUCUUGUGUUAGAGCAACUAUCUCAAAUUCUCCAAGUCUUCUUUUCUUUGUCAAGAUAUCCUUAAAAAAUUUUGUAUAAUUUGGCAUUUGCUCUAGAGCUUCCACAAAAGGGAUAUUGAUAUGUAGUUGUUUCAGCACUCCCAAGAUUUUGCUGAACUGCUUGUCUUGUUUUUGCUUCUGAAACCUUUGAGGAAAUAGUGGUGGAUGUCUAAACUGUUGUGCUGCAGCAUGUUGUGCAGAUUGCUUCUCUUUUGCUCUACUCGGCUCUGUUGUUGUUGGUGUUGUAGCUUCCUCACCACCAGGUGCUAGAUCAUAACUUUCUGCAGAUGUUGUAGCAGAAUUAUGUUUAUUUGCAUUCUGAAAAGUGGAAGACUGUGACUUCUUCUCUACUUGAGUGUCUUCUUGGCCUUGGUUGGACUCAAUUCUUCUAUUUGGUAUACCAACUGAACUAUCAGCCUCCUUUCCAGAUCACAAGUUUAUCACUUUGCAGUGCUCUUUCCCUUCUCUUCUUGGGUUCUCUGUGUUACUGCGUAAACUGUCCUGAGGUCUAUUGCUUACUGCUGUAGCAAGCUGUCCAAUUUGAUUUUCUAAGUUUCUCAAAUAUGCAGCAUGACUUUGGACCACCGUUUCAUUAUUCACAAUAUAAUCCUUAAUUAAACCUUCAAGAGAGCUGAGUUGAUCAUUGUUGAUGCUUAUUUUCUCUUGAUUUUGCUGAUAAAAUCCAGCUGGUUGAGCAAGUUUGUUCUGUCCACUGGAUGCUGCAGCAGUCUGGUUCUGAUAACUCCUUGAAAAGUUCGGGUGCUGUCUCCAUUCAGGGUUGUAAGUGUUUGAAUAUGGAUUGUCCUGGUUUUAUCUAUUGAAGCUCCCCACAUAAUUGACUGAAGUUGGAUUCCUAGGACAAUUGUCAAAUAAAUGCCCUUUUCCACAAUAAACGCAUGACACAUCAGAAAUUUGGUUAACAGUUGUUGAAGCAGUGGUCAUAGCCUUUAUCAUCUUUGUUAAUGAAGUUACUUGGGCUGGCAAUGAUGUCAAGGCAUCUACGUUAUGGACUCAUGCUGUUCCUCUCACUGCAGCUUGUCUGGUUAAUGGCCACUGAUAGUUAUUGUUGGCUAUCCUCUCCAAAAUUUCAUAAGCCUCAUUGUAAGACUUAGAUAACAAGGCUCCAUUUACUGAAGCGUCCACCAUCAAUCUAGUGCUUGGCUUGAGACCAUUAUAGAAAGUUUCCAACUGUAUGCAGUAAGGAAUACCAUGAUGAGGACAUCUUCUGAGUAACUCCUUAAAUCUUUCACAUGUAUCAUACAAGCUCUCAUCUUUAAGUUGAUGGAAAGAUGUAAUCUCAUUCCUCAGUUUUGCAUUCUUGGUUGGUGGGAAGUAUUUCAUCAAAAAUUUAUCAGCCAAGUCAUUCCAUGUAGUGAUAGAAUCUGGUGGUAGAGAAUUCAACCAUGCUCUUGCUUGAUCUCUCAAAGAAAACGGGAAAAGUCUGAGUCUCAACGCUUGUUGCGAUGCUCCAGCAAUCUUGAAAGCAUCACUUACUUCCAAAAAUAACUUAAGGUGUAAAUGAGGAUCUUCGGAUGGCAAACCAUUAAAUUGCCCCACUGUUUGAAGCAUCUGAAACAUCACGGGUUUGAGUUCAAAAUUUUCAGCUUGAACAUCGGGUUUAACUAUUCCUGGACGUAUGGCUUGAGGAGUCAACACUGUGUAGUCUUGAAUGGUUCUAUCUCUAUCAUUCGCCAUGUGAAUAAUGUUGUUGUUCCCUGGUUGCUUUUGAACACAAUGUCCAUUCAAACCUUCAUGUACAUCGACUGGUUGUAUCUCCUCUAUACGGUUCAAGUUUCUCAAAUCUUACAAAUCAUCCAUUGCUACAGCAGCUUGUAAUUCCCAACGCUCUCUUCUUAAUCUCCUUGCAAUUCUUUCAAUUUCUGAAUCAAACUGGAAUUCAACAGAUUUAUAUUUGCGCAUGCAAGGGUUGCUAGAUCACCUAUGUCAACAAAAUAAACAAACUAAAAUAAAAUAAAAAAUUAGCACCGUUAAAACUAAUUUCACAAAUCACAAUGAACAAUCAAUCCCCGGCAACGACGCCAAAAACUUGUUGGUGUAUAAAUACUAAUGCUAUUGGUGUCAAUGUGCAAGUGUACACAACAAGUAAUAAAGUGAUGAGUAUUCAAGAUCGUCUCCACAUGGAUUGAUGUUAUUAGACUUGCUACAGCAAUCUUAACAGUGCAGAUUUUGUGUCUAAAGUAAGAUAAACAAUUGAUGAAACUAAUUUACUAAUUAAAAUAAAAACACAAUAAAUAAAAUGCAAUAAAGUAAAUUAUCACGUCAAUCUCAAGGAUAAAAUCAAUGGGAAUAUAAAGCAGUUGAGUGAAUAAACUCUCUUAAUGGUCUUGACUAUUUUUUUAAUGUUUGGUUCGGUUGCUACAACAUUUUCUACAGCACUAGGCCGAAUCCUUAUAUAUCCACAGCCGUCGCAUGUUGGAUAUCUUAUAUCUAUAUGCAACCUAACAAUGAUCAGUUGCUAUGCCAACAUAAGAUAUAACAUUACACGCUUAGGUUCUAUUUACCCUACAAGGUGAAUCCUUAUGUCUAGUUCAUCACUAAUCUUAAAUCAAGCAUGGCCCUUUUGGAACUCAAGUAAAACUCAAUCCGAGAAACUCAAUUUAAGAUCAAGUAUUGUUCUGAUAUGUUUCAUUAAGAUAGGCCCUUUUGCGGCUCUCUCCUAACUUGUAUCAGUAAAUGGGUGAUCAACCGAAAUAAUGAAUAAAAAUAAAUACUAUCAAAACAAACUACUACAGCAAACAUGCAGCAACACAUAUAUUCAGUCAAUAAACCAUCAAGAUUGUUUAUCACUCAACCACAGAUAAAUUUAGUUCAUGGUUUGCAAAAGAAAAAUAAAGAACAAAGUUUCAGCCAUGAAACACAUCCCCAUAAAUAAAUAGAAAACGAAAAAACAAGAGAAGAAUAAGAAUGAUUGAGCUCCCAGUUGAUUCACUAUAAGAAAUCUGACUUUCUAAGACAAAUGUUUUUAUGACAUUUGUAGAUUUUGUCAUAAAAUAAUACUUGGUGUGAUGAUCUUUUAAAGUCGUAGCAAAUAAUCUCGUCCUGGCUCAUGUUAUAUUUUGUAAUGAAUAAUAUUCAUUUUAUGACCCAAUAAUUGGUCACUUAAUCAAAUGUUUUGCGACAAAUAUAAAAUUAGCCACAAAAAGACAUACUUUAAAUUCCCUCCAAAAUUGAUCAGUUUUUGACAAAAUAUCAUCUUUUAUGACAAAAAAUAUGGUAGCGAAAUGUAAUUAUAAGUGACAUAAUUAUUUCGUAACUAAAAGAGGGAUGUAAAAUUGAUCAAACCAUUUGUGACAAAAAAUAUUAGUCUCCAAACCUAAUAUGGUUUUGAUUAAUUUUUAAGACCCUAUUUAUUUUUAUCACAAAUAAUUACCUAUUGUGACAAAACUAAAAAAUAAUAGUUUAAAAUUUUUUCUUGAGUAAUUUUGUAUUUCAUGACUUUUUUUUUCAUAGACACUUUAUUUAGUAUUUGUUUCAUAUUUUUUUGGCAAACUUUACAACAUUGACAAAAAACAGAGAAUAAUAAUCAAUAUUUUUAAAUUAUAUUAUAUUUUGUGACCAACAAAUUUUUUAUAUGUAUUUUAUUAAAUAAUUGAUAAGAUAAGAUAAAAUGUCAAUAUUAAAUAUCAAGAAAAAAGGUAUUUAACUGAUAGGUAUUUUAUUAAAUAAUACAUUUUUCUUGAAAUUUAAUUACGCACAUUAUUUUUUAUUAUUUAGCUUCAUACAAAUUUGUUUAACUAUGUUAGAUUAAUAAAAAUUAAAAUAAUAGCCUUAAAAUAAUUAACUUAGAUUAUUAAAAAAUGAUAAUAGACUUUUUUUAAACCAAUAAUAACAAACUUAUUAUAGCUUCUUUUUUAUUUUUUUAAAAGAAUCCUAUAAUAAUUAAUUAUGUUGGAGUUACAGAAAGAAUACAUAUUAUAUUGGAUAAAAAUUAAAAUAAAAGAAUAACUAAACUUAAAUAGAAUAUAAGUUUCUCUAAUGAAAUCGUGAAAUACAAAUAAAUCCCCUCCCACUGAUUCCCUGGCCAAUUUUGUUGUUAUCCAAACAAAACCAUUUAAUUUCCUCCCACUCUCUCCCAGGCCACUUCACUUUAAUUGGUUUUGUAUUAAAAAACUACCCUAUCUUUAUCUUUUGUAAUCCUUUCCAAUUUAUGCGUGAGUGUGUGUGAAUGAUGAUAACAGAACAAAAACGCAUGACUAUGGAGGCCACCUCACUUUGCCGCCGCCCAAAAGCACGCCACCCUCACCAGUCCACUCAUGCAUGCCAAAAUCAGCCACUCAACAAAAUUCACUCUCAUCUCUCGUUCUACUUCGAAAUUGUGAGUAUAUAUAAACUCAGCCAAUUUAAUUUUGAUUAGUUUAAUUGUGAUUGGAUUAUGUGAAAUUCAUAUUUUUGUGUUUGGUAAAAUUAGGGAUUGAAAUUCUUAGAUCUAUUAUUUGAAUAUUUUUAUGCUUAUCAGGUGCUUGAUAAAAUUCCUAAGAGAAUCUAGUAAAAGAAAAACAUAAAAUAUAUGCAAAUAAAUGAAGGAAUUUGAAGCAAAGUUUAGUAGGUUUUGAGAAACUUUUGCAAAAUUAGGAUAUUAAGAUGAAUUUGUUUUUCAAUUUGAGCAGUGGGUUUAGGUGUGCUGAUAUCAGAUUUUUUUUUCCUAAUAUUCUUUCAUAAGAACUUUCGAAAAUGGGAUCUUUCUAAUUUUUGUUCACUUCAACUUGGUAUGUAAUUAAUCAUCUUUCGUUAUUUUUUUUAAGAUAAUUAUAGCUAGUAUUCAUAUAGUAAAAAGAGUUAAUAAGUUAUUCGAGUCCAGCCGAUAUAAUAAUAAGUUAAGCUACAAACUUUUAAUUAUAAAACACAUGUGUUGGUUGGAAGGACGAUUUUGAAGCUUGGGUUGCUAAAGUUUGCUGAAAAUAUUGUUGGCUUUGCUGGAUUUGCUAGGAAGUGUAGAUGAAGUGACUAAAUAAAGGUCAAAAAGCCUUUUUUUCCCCAAGUGGUCGUUGUAUGUUUAGUCAAAAUUAAUAUGCUUAUCUUCUUUUGUACUGGGAUAACAAAAAAGUAUGGAGAGAGUUUCCUCGAUUACUUUGUUUAAGAAAAUGUAUUAGAGUGAGCGAAAAAGGUUCAAGUAGUCUCCAUACAAAAUUUAAAUGUGUAAGUUAUCUUAUUUUUAUUUUUUGACUUAAUCUUUUAUUUCUUUCAACUUUAUAUUUAUUGUACUGUAAAUGUUGAUUUAUUGACUGCUUAAUAAUUUAAUUUAGUUCAAGUUUGACACCAACUGUUUAAUCGAUUAAGUUCAGAGCUUUGGAUGUAAAAUUUGUGCAAGUGAAUCGAGGUUGAUUAUGUGCUUGUAAUCUUGUGAUUAUAUUGUUAAUUUGAAGUCAUAAUGAAAGCAAGUAUGUGCUUGUAAUCUCCUGUCUUUCAUUUAGAAUUUUUUCCAUUUUUUUAUUGGAUGAAAGAAUUGAUUGCGGAUAUGUUUCAUUGAGAAUUUAAUUAUUUUUGCAUUCUUACCUAAAUAUUUUUAUAUAUAGCUAUUGCCUUGCUAUUUACUAUUCUUUCAUUUUGGCAAUAAGAUUUUCUUUCAUAAGAUUAUUCUCCUAUACCAAUUAAGUGUUUUCUCAAGUUUUUUAUUAUUAAUAUUAUUUUUUAAUCAUGUAAAGACAAAUGAUAGAUAGAGAAAAAUGAUGUACCAAUAAUAGAUGAUCAAAUUGUGAAAUACUUUUGGAAAAAUCUUUAAUUUUAUAAAGAUAAAAAAAUGACAGGUACCUUCAAAGUCAUCUUCUACUACAACAUUGUCUUAGCACAACAAGGAUAAAAAGUUAAAAUCAAGGAAGAAGAUAGCAAAUUUAAGGAAGUUGAAGCAUUCAUGAAACAACAACCUGUUGUUUACUUAAUUAUGCUUUUGUGUAAUGUUUCUUUUAUUUUUCUUCUAUGAUGUAAUCUUAUUUUUAGACUAUUGAUUUUUUACCUUUUUGAUUUUAGAUUUCUUUGUAAUGAAUUAUAUUUAUGUUAAUAAUAUUUUUCACUUCAAAGUUCUUUUGUCAUUAAAUUUUGAAUUCUAUGACUACAUAUUGUUAUUAAAUUUAUGUGAGACUAUAAAAAUUGUCCUUAAAAUAAAUUUGAGACUAAAUUAAUUACCAAUUGUAUUUGUAAAAAUUGUCACAAAUGAUAACUACUUGAGACGAUUGUGUAAUGUCGCGAUAUGUAAAUUGUCAACGAUUGGUAAUUGUAUCAUUGAACCUCUAAAAUAACGAUUUUUAGUAAUUAUCGAGACUAUAUUUACAUACUCUUGAGACAAAUAUUAUAGUCAUUCUAAAUCACCUAUUGAGACCAAUGUUUUAGUCACUAUAAAUCACCUAUUGAGACAAAUAUUAUAGUCACUGUAAAUCACAUAUUGUGACAAAUAUGAAGUGUCAUUGAUUGCAUUUUUGAAUCUCUAAUUUGACCAUUUUGAACACUAUUUGUGACAAUUUUAACUUAAUUUUAAGACAAUGGUCUUUGUCACAAAACAUAUUUUUAACAUGACGAAAGUAAUUAUGGUCGCUAAAACCUUUUAAGACGGUCUUUCCGUGACUAGCGUGUGACAAUUUAUUUAUCAUCAUAGAAAAUAUAAGGUGACUAAUAUGUUAUCUUGAGUGACUAAAUUUUUUGCAAUAAAAUAUCAUUUUUCUUGUAGUGAUUUUGUAAAUUCUCCUCUUGUGCAGCCUUUAAUCUCUCUCUUGAAUCUUGUUUUUCUUUUGUUUCUUUGUGUUUUUCUCCUUGGGUGAUGGCUCUCUUAUUCCUUAUGAUGUGUGCUUCUUUUAUAGUUGAAAAUUAGGGUAAACGGAAGCCUAGGGCAAGCAUUAGUCAGAUUAGGAAACUGUAGAUCGCAAUUCUGCAAGUAUCCCGCACAUAAUUUUCUAUGUCGUUGUUUUAGGAUUGCUACAGCAACGGCUACAACAACUGCACUGUUCCAGAUAGCUAAGUUCUUCCUCAUUUUUGCAAGCCUAUUGCAUGAACAUUCCUUCCAUGAAUUAUAAGCUUCUGGAAACCUACAAUUAUGCACACAAUUUAAGCACGAAUUACUUUAAAUUAAGCAAAACUCAUUAAGACUAAACUAAAAUGAAUAUUUAUGCAAAAUAUAACAAAAAUGCAAUAGAAACACAUCAUUUACUCUCUAAGUAAUAUUAAUUUAAGUCUAAAAGUGCUAUGAUAACUCUCAUUUCAUAGAGUUAUCAGUAUAAUUAUUAUUUUAAAUUUUUACUUCUUUAUUUUUCUACUACUCACUAUAAGAAAAAAGAGAAUUAUUGAUAUUUAAAAACUGUCAAAUAAAUGAAUAUUUGACCAUUAAAAAGUGCCAAAUAUUCCUGUGUCAAAUAUGCUUAUUUGACAUUUAGUAAAAUUGUCAUUUAUUUUUGUCAAUUAAUAAUAAUCAAAUAUUUUUCACAAUAUAAGAUUGUCAAAUGUGUAUGACACUUAAUAAUAGUCAUAUACAUGUGACAUUAUUCAAAAUGGUCAAAUGCAAAUGACUUGAUAAAAAUAUCAAAUAUUAUAAUUCCUUGUCUUGGGUUGCACAUAAUAUAUAUUAUAACAUUGAAACUUGAUAAAAUUCAAAAAAUUUCAACUAACUUCAAACACCAUAAUAAAGCAUAGGAAACCUGAAUUCAUAUUAAAAUGAACUUGCAUUGUAUGUAUAAAUGUAUCAAAUGUCUUAAGUAUAAUUCUAAAAUAAGAUUGUUUCUAAAACUAUACAUUGAGCCUAUAGUUAGCAUUCCACCAUCGGUCCAAAAGUUUUUCAUAGCAGCAUUGUACAUACAAAAGGAAAAUGUGUUCCUGUGCUUAAAAUCACAUUAAAAGCAACUCCAAUACUGAUCCCCAGAACCAACAUGGGUUGAAACAAAAGUGCAAUGUCAUAGUCGAUAACGGGCAUAUCCAGUGUGGGAUGCCUUUGCCUUAGAUUGUAGACAACAGUAGCAACCGCAGUACCACUGAUCAUACCUACUCAGUCAUGAGGGUUAAAACGACUAUGAGAGUAAGCAUAUGAUUGUCUUGAACAACUAAGAUUGUAUCUGUAAAAGAGGGGUUUGUUUCACUUACAUUUUGAUAGUGCUACAGAUGAUUUUGGAUCAAAUCCAAUAAUCAGAUUAAGUACAGGAACAAAUAUGCCACCCCCACCAACACCACCUACACUCCCACAUAGCCCUACACAUCAAGAAACCAAAAUUACUGCCAUAUACUACUAUUAUUGUUUAAGGAAGAGGCUAAAAAAGUAAGUCAUGGUUACCAGUAAGGCAUUGACAAAUUUUGAUUGAAUUAACUGAGAGCUUUUAUUAUGAAUCCAACUAGAUGAUAUAGUUGCCUUAUGCAAUGAAAGCAUAAGAUAUCUAUGCACAAAGAGAAGGAAAAAUCUAUGCAUGAAAAAUAUUAACAAUAAACUAAUGUACUUCAAUUGAAUCAUAUGCUAUUUACCUGCAUUACUUGUCUCUUUUGCAUUUUUUUUCAAAUCAAGUCACUAACAUAAGUGGUCCAAUCAGAGCGAAUUUCGUUGAUCUCAUCUUCAUUAUAAGUAUCUUUUUCAUUAAACUGACAUCAAAAGACAGAAAACUAUAUUUAUUUGUCACUCCUUCAAUUCAUAGACUUCAUUUUAACCACAUUUCUCUGUAAAAUCUACAAUAAGUUUAAGCUAUGUUAAUGAUCUAACCUUUGCACAAAGUAUACUUUGAUCUGCAAUAAUCUCCUUCAUGAAUCGCAUGACAUAGUAGCCACAUUCAACAUUACCAAUUUGCGUAGGCACAUUAACAUCAUUCCAUUUCAAAUUAAUCUUUUUCAUUUGCUGUCCUUUUUUGACAAGAAACAUUCAAAUCCCACUACAAAAAAUACAAAUUAAAUAUGAAAUAUUAAACUCAAUAAUUAUAUAUAUAGCAAAAACCACUAGUACACUUAUAGCUAAAUAUCUUUAAUAUACUUACACUGUUACAAUUUUUUUUAUAUCAACACUGAUUUCAUUUCUCACUGAAUUCAAAUAAUGAACAACCAUUGAGGGCAAGUCGAUCACAAGCAAGAUCCAAUGACAACUAUUAACAAAUGAAUAAAGAGUUAGAAAAAAUUACUAAUUAAAAAGUAAAAACUAAGUAGAUAAACAAAGAUAUUUAAAGCAACAAAAUAACUAACCUAGGAUUAUAUGGUAAGAAGAUAAAUUAUUUUGCACUCAAUUCUUGGAAGCGAUCAGCAAGAGUUUUUGCUUUCUGUUUGAAAGUACUCUCAUCCAAAAAAGAAAGAGUGGUAGGAUGAAUGAACCCAAACUUUUCAUUAAUUAGCCUGGCCUUCGUUUCAGCACAAAGAUAUCUAGUAUAUAAGAAAAAGCGCUAGGUCAAUUAAAGUGAAACAAAAAUAUUCGACAAAAUAUAAAGCAUUAUUGAAGUAUCAUACCUCAUGUAUACAGCAAUGCAGUUUUGUGAAAGCUCUUGCAUAUCAAUAAGAUCUUGAAUUUCCUCCAAAGUGAGAUAUGUAUGCAAUUUGUAACUAAACGUGUCCUCAAAAUCAACCUUAACUUGGGAACCAGGUUUCAUAACUUUCUUUACCAUUUUAUCAAAAACUUGUAUGUCAGGAGGUUUUUUAAAUGUUUGCUGAACUAUGGGAGAGUUUACUUCCUCAUUCACCUCUAAUUUUUCUUUAAAAGGGUUGAUAACUGAUUUAGACACCUAGAAAUGCAAACAUUCAAAUAUGAUUAUUACUUCAAUUUUAAAUAAAGAAAUAAAACAAGAAUUAAAGCUAGUAAUAUAGGCCAGGUACCAUUGGGGUGUUAGCAUUCACAUCUAAUUUCCCCUUGGAAGGCUUUACAGCUGACUUAGACAUCUAGAAAUUUAAGCAUUCACAUAUGGUUACAAUUUAAAUUCUCAAUUAAAGAAUUAAAAAAAAGUAAUAUAUGCCAAAUUCAAUACCUUGUUUACUACAACAGCUUGGGAAACAAGCUUUUCUUGCCAUAAUAUGUGCUGUCCUAACCCAUCACUGACGUAAACAAGCUCACUAGUCCUGAUUGGAAGAUGGGCAUCUGGACUUAAUACCAUAUCAAUUACAACUAAAACAUUUGACUUCCUAUACUCCAAAAUAGUUCCAGUAGCAACAAUGUUUUCUUUACAUCCUACAGCCAACUGACAAGUUUGAUCCUAACCAAAAAAAGUAAUAAGAUUAUUAAAUAUGCACUUAAAGUAUAAAUUCAAAGAUUAAUUUAAUUACUUGAGUGUGCGUACCUUAUUUUUUUGCUUUUCAAAAAUUGGAUUUGUUUUGUUCUUUGUCUCGUUAGACACAUCUUGUGAUCCAAAUCUGUUGCUACAGACAUUGGAGUGUCUUGCUUUUGGUGAAGAUUUUGAGAGAUCAUGGAUAGUAGCUUUCAUCUUCACUAUUUGUUCAUUCAACAGCCUCUUCUCCUUUUGCCAAUCAGAUUCUAAAUUAACAGUGUGAAAGAAAGAAGAUGGCUUGACUCCUCUUCCCUUCCCUGUAACAUGCCCAUUACGCUCAGGCUUCUUUAAUGCUUGGGCCAAAAUAUCAUUCUCACUAGAUGUGGUUAUAACCCCUGAUUUUGCUAGCUGGGUCAACUCAUCCUACAAGAAUAUAAGACCAUUAUUCAUGCAACAUACAAGGAAUUGAUGGAAAAUUGCUCAAAGAAUAUUAUACUUACAAUUGUAUGCACAACAGGUAUCACAACUGGAUGAUAUCCACCAUUUGGGUUUCGACAAGCCCUUUUCCAUGCUACACUUCUAUCCACUUUCAAAUUGGGAUUUCCACAUUCUUUUUUCUAAUUCCAAUAGCAAUGUGACCAAUGUUAAACAUACAUCAAGUGCUAAAAAUAAUUAUAAUUUUUUUAUGAAAAAAAUACUUACUAUUUCUUCUUCUAAUCCAUUAUAACCUUUUCGACCAAGGUGAUGGUUGUAAAGAUUUAGUGCUCGUCUUUCUUUUUGAAGGCCAAUAAGCGUCUAAUGCAUAUCAUACAUAUGUUUAUUAGCAUUAACAUAAAUAAAAUAUAAAAAAAAUAAUGUUCACAAUAAUAAAAAAAGAUUACCUUAAAUUCUUUGGAUAAUCGAUCAUUAACAAAUGCAUCCUAAUGACCUUUUUGUAUGAAAGAGUACAAUAACGGUGGGUUACGCAAAUGAUUUGGAUGGGCUUUGUACUUUUUAACAUGUCGUGUGAGAUUAUAUCUAAAAGAACGAAAUGAACUUCCACCAAUUUGCAAACAUUGUCUUUUAAAUCGAUCAUCCACGUCAAACGAACUCUGUAAGACAUGAAAUAACAUAUUUAAACUACUAACUUUCCUGCAAAUGCAUCACAUAAUAUUCAUUUAGUUUUAUUAAUAUUAAAAAAUGAUAUUGUUUGCAACCACAAGAACAACUGAUAAAAUUAUAUAAUUAACCCCAAAAAAUAAGGCAAUGAGAUCACAAUUUUACUAAUUAAGAAUGAAAGUGAAAAUUAUUUGUGCGUUCUUUGUUUGUUGAACAAGAACAAAUAUAAGACUUAGUAUCAAUUAAAAAUACAAUUAAUUCAAGUAUAACACUAAAAUUAUCAAACUAGAAAGAGAGAAUUAAAAAAAAUCAAAAUUAAAAGAAAAAAAUACCUGAAAUUCAAGAAGCGAAUGAAGCUGAAGCAAGCUGAACUUCUUCAUGGGUUCUUCUUUAUAGGUUGAGUGAUUGGAUGAAAAAAUGAGAGAUGACUGUCAUUUAUAAUGAGAAUGAAAAUGUAUGAAACAGACUAAAUUGAAGCAAUAAUCACUUCUUAGAGUGAGUUUACAGACUCAAUAAAUUAAAAUCUCAUUAAUUAAUAAAAAUCAAUAACAUUACUUCUAAUUUGCAAGCAAUUUGAGAAUUGUUGCAGUUCUGUAAGUUUCCUUUGUUAAAAUGUAUUAAACGGACCAAAUUGAAGCUAAGUGCAUUACGUUAAUAUAUUACGAGAAACAUCUCAAUAAGAUGCUUGUUAAAAACAAAAUAAUCUUUUAAAGAGACAUUUCAUCAAACAAGUAAUGUGCAUUCAAAUAGCAGAGCAGAUACGACACUUGGAAUCAAUUAAAUCAACCCUAGAUUGUUUUAAAAUAUAAAUAAUUCAACUAUAACCCUAAAAUUAUCAAACCCCGAAAGAGAGAAGUAGANNNNNNNNNNNNNNNNNNNNNNNNNNNNNNNNNNNNNNNNNNNNNNNNNNNNNNNNNNNNNNNNNNNNNNNNNNNNNNNNNNNNNNNNNNNNNNNNNNNNAUAAAAAAUGCGAGGUGAUUAUUUUAAAAAAAUAUUUUUUUGAAUUUUCAAAAAAAAAACAAAGGCAGUCCAUAUGUGAUAUGUGAACGAAACAAGCUCACAAACAAAAAGCAAGCUGAAAUUCUUGGAAGACGGGCAAGAUGGGCAUUUGGACUUAAUACCAUAUCAAUUACAGGUCCACAACAUGUGCGGUUUUUGUUUUUUUCUUAAGUCAAUAAAAGGAAAACGUAAAUGGUAAUUAUUCAAUAAAUAUAUAAUAUAUUUCCACUUAUUUGGUAAAACGUCAUAAGUAUUUGAUGUUUAAAUAAAUUGUCAUUUAUAUUUCACAAUUACUCAAUUUUUCACAAAAUGUCAUAUAUAUUUGAUAUUUCUUAAAAAUUAUCAAAUAAAAAAUGUCAAGUAUUCUAUUUUUUCUUGUAGUGACUCCCCCCCUCCCCCCAAAAAAAUCAAUGCUUUCCCUUUUCCAAAAUUACUCAAUAAAAAUUGUUAACAUAAGAUUGUCAGAGAUUACUUUUAGUAUUUUAUCGGUGAUAUCAUUCUAUUUUUAAUUCUAUUUUUCUUAUUUUUUAAAAUUUAAUUUAAUUUAUUUUUAUUGAUUUAUGGCUUGAAUAAUCUAAAAAAAGAUUGUGUUUGUUUAUUUUCUUGUUAUUUAUAUUUGAAAACUUGUCAACUAGAAAACAUGCAUUAGAAUAUGAAAAACUAUUAAAAAAAAAAAGGAGGGUAGAAAAACUAGUCCAAUAUCAAAAAUCUAAGCACUUCCUCGGUUUGAAAAUAAUUUAAAUAUUUCUUUAUUAAAAAUAAACUGAAAAUAAAUAUUUUUGUUCUUUUUUUUCUCUCUUGUUAAUAUCACACAUGGACAACAGUAGAGGCGGCAAUUCGAGUUAAUGGAUCGUGUUCAUGUUAUGUCAUCAAAUUUGAGCUAACCCAAGCCUAACUCAUUUAUUAAUUGUGUAAAGAAUCUCAACCCUAGCCGAUCCAUUUAUUAUCGUGCUAUAAUUGUGUUACUUAUUUAACAAAAUCUCAAUUUUUAAUUAAAAAAAUAUUUUCAAUAUGUUUUUAUAUUUUCUAUAAAUCUUGGGGUGCUAUCAUGUUAAACUCUAAUCAAUUUUAUUUUAAAUACAAAUAAAUGAUUUUAAAAAAUAUGAAAAUUCAACAUUUAUCUAUCGAUAAAAUACAAGUCAAGUAGUAUAAUUAAUUGUGACAUAAAUAAAUUAUCAUAUGUAAAACCGAACCUAAUACAGUUAUUAAUCGAGUUGACAGUUCGGAAGAGCUAGUAAAUCCAUUCAAGUUGGAUAUUCAAGUAUCUGAUCCAAAUAGAUUGGAGAAUAUCCAUCCAAAAUACUCUGGAUUUGGUUUAUCUUAUGUUCAUCCAUGAACUUGAUUAUUAUUAAUAUUUAGGUAUAUGAGACUAAAUUUGAAUAUUAUAAUUAAUAUUUAAGUUUUGUAAAUUAAAUGAAAAAUUAAAAUAACCUUGCCGAAAAUUAUUGCACCAACGAUGACAAUGAUGGCACCAUCAUCAAAAAAUAAAAGUGAAUGAACAAAAACACAAAUACUAUCAACAUAUUUGAAAUUCUCCAAUCUAUGUAAUGGAGGCAACGUUGCCAGAUAAAUGGAUGUCUAGGGAUGGAUGCGCCUUCCAAUACAAAUAGUCGUAGCAAGACCAUCAUGAUUAGGCGGCAUUUCAAGGUUCACCACUACAUUUAACAACCAAAUUGAUGGUCUCUAAAUUGGAAAAAGGUGAUAGUGUAAUGUAACACACUAUGGUUUGUGGCAUAAUUAUGGUGAUAGCCACUUUUGGAAGGUGCAACUUUGCACAUCACCAUUUUCUGACUUUGAGACCAUCAUUAUGUAGAUCAUCCAAUUUUAAGUCCAAUGGUACCCUUCACAGUCCUCUUCAAUCAAUAACAAUCAUGUCAUCGUCGACAACGGAGCAGUGACCGCCAGCAAUUAUCUAUAUUUUUAAUGAAAAUUAUUGAUUUACAAUUAAUUAAAAAAUAAGAGUAAUGAAUUUUGUUUUGUUAUUAUGUUUCUAUAUCAAAAGUAAUUUUAAUUACCUUUUAAUAUUAAUAAUUUUAAGAAAUUAAAUAAAAAUGAAUAAUUUUUUUUGUAAAACACAUUAAUUAGUUUUUCAUAUUAUAAAAUGUAUAGUAUUUAUAAUAAAAUUAAAUAUCAAUGUCUACCCAUGGAUAUCCAUAUUCAUAUUGGAUAAUUAUGUAUUUUUACAAUGGAUGAAUAAUCACUAUAUCCAACUAGAUUUUGCAUCCUUAAUUGAUAGAGAUAUGACCAAUUAAAUAAUUGUGUCAAAUUAACUACUCAAAUAUAUUUUCUUGUGUUAUUUUCUUAUCAGGUUAAUGGGUUAGCGUCGAACAAUAGCAACAUGACUAUGAUCAAUUUUUUUUUUAAUUUGAUAGUGAAAUGUAUUUUUUUCCCCCAAUUCUAGCCAAUUAAGCAUUGACUUCUCUUCAUUUAUUGCAAUAACAGAACUUAUAUUAUCCAAAUUUGACAAUUUUGUGAUGUUAGAGUAUCGUGUUCAUACUGAUAUAUUCAAAAGGUGCUUGUGACAUAGGUCUUGGAAUCUAGAGGUCUUGGCUUCUAGAGGUAUCACUAUAAUUGAAAAUUUCUAGGUGAAAGAGAAAUGUGUCAAAAUUUAAAAGUCCUUGGCUUUUUUGUUUUUAUAACAAAUAUCAAGGCUCCAUUAUAGUUGACUUAGAAAAAGACCAAAAAAAGGGUAACAAACCUAUGUGCCAACAUAGUUUUGCCCUAUAUUAUGGGAAAGCUAAUAUUUAGGCUUUACCCGAUUAUUACUCCUAUUCAUAAUUAUCUAUCUUAUUUGAUAAUCUUCACCUUAAAAAAUAAGAUAUAUUUUUAUGGUAUAAUCAUUAUUUUAAAUUUUUACUUCUUUAUUUUACUACUACUCCCUCCCCCCCCCCCCCCCCCAAAAAAAAAUCAAUGCUUUCCCUUUACAAAAAUUACUCAAUAAAAAUUGUUAACAUAAGAUUGUCAGAGAUUACUUUUAGUAUUCUAUCGGUGAUAUCAUUCUAUUUUUCUAUUUUUAAUUAUUAUUUUUCUUAUUUUUUAAAUUUUAUUUUAUUUUUAUUUUUUAUUGAUUUAUGGCUUGAAUAAUCUAAAAAAAAAGAUUGUGUUUGUUUAUUUGCUUGUUAUUUAUAUUUUAUUUUUAUUUUUUAUUGAUUUAUGGCUUGAAUAAUCUAAAAAAAAAAAGAUUGUGUUUGUUUAUUUGCUUGUUAUUUAUAUUUGAAAACUUGUCAACUAGAAAACAUGCAUUAGGAUAUGAAAAACUAUUUAAAAAAAAGGAGGGUAGAAAAACUAGUCCAAUCUCAAAAUGGAGCUCUUAAUAAAUUUGUCACAACUAGUCAAAAAGGUAUAGAUCUAACUGAAAAAUUAGUUAUUGAACAACUAACUUCAAAUGAAUUAAGCAAUGAUGAAACAGUGAAUGAAAUAAACAACAGUGAAGAUGAUAAAAACAAAAAUCCAAACAAAGUUGAUGUACCAAAUUUAUUUGUUACAAAUAAUAUGUAUGCUUCAGGAAAAUGGGAAAAUGUUGAUGCAAAGUUAAGAGAAUCUUUUAGUAUAAAAAAGCACAAUUAAAGACAAUAUCAUAACUUUCACAAAAGAUGAAAAUUCAAGGCAUUUCUCUGCUGUAUUUUAUGUUAAAAUGCUACCAAAUGGAGAAAAAUAUGAUAGGAAAUGCUUGGUAGAUUCAAAAGAUUUUGACAAAGUAUAUUGUUUUUGUUGCAAAUUAUUCAAUACAAGUUGUAGCAAAAAUCAGCUUGAUGAUGAAGGCACAAGAGAUUGGAAAAAUCUUAGCUCUAAACUUAGAGAUCAUGAAACAACCAAUGAACAUAUAAUUGAUAAAGAUGUUCAAGAAUAAAUUGAUAAGGAAAAAGAACUUUGGAAAAAAGUACUAAUAAGAAUUAUUAUUGUUGUAAGAAAUCUUUUUAAAAAUAAUUUAGCAUUUCAUGGAAAAAAUGAGAAGAUCUAUGAAGAGAGAAAUUGAAAUUUUUUAAGUUUAAUUGAAAUGAUUGUAAAAUUUAAUCCAACAAUGCAUGAACAUAUUCAACAUAUUAAAAUCGGUGAAGUUAAAGAUCAUUAUCUUGGAUAUAUAGACAAAAUGAGCUGAUAUUGAUUCUAGCACUUGGAAUAACAGUUGUCACUGACAGGUUAAGAUAAGCUACCAAAUUGGCAAGGAAGAAAUUCUAGUAUUAGUGUCAUAUUUUAUGCCAUAUUAUGUAAUGCAUAUUAGUAAUGAUUUCUUCAUAAUAUCGCAGAUAUAUAAAAGUUCAUCCUAGCUAGAUACAUUGUAGAUUUUGUAAGAAUUAUUUUACUCCGUCCAAAUGAGUUCACAUUAUUAUCCAAUUUUCCUCUUUUUUUCCUUUUUUUUUUCCUUUUUUUUAAGUUGAUUUAUGAAAGAAAAAAAAAUGACACCAAUGUUUUCCACGUCGCCGCAAGUCUCAUCGAUAAAAGUCCAUUUACAAAUUAGUUCAUAAUUCUUUUUGUAACUUCGCUAAAAGCUAGUCAAGUCAUUGCUAGCAAGCCUCAAAAGCACGAAGUACGCGAAUCACGGCGAUAACUGAUAAUAACUUGGUUGUCCGGUUUCGCAUACUAAUUAGCUUGAUUGAAAAUCGUGAAGUAUGGGGCACGACUAACGCAACGCAUACGUCUCAUGCAUUAGGCAAAUAUUGUACGCCACCCAUGUUGAGAGCACAAAUCCACUAUCUACAAGUACUAUAUAUAGAGCUGCAAUGCGUGCUUCAAGUAUUCACAACUUACCCCUAGCUGGCUAGCUAGCCUCUAUAAUUUGAAGGAAAAAAAAAACAAAACAACCUUGUUCAACUUGCAAAUACCUACCAAUUAUUAUGGAGAAAAGCUUUGAUAUCAUUGCCCUGUCUAUGAUCAUUCUGGUGACUUAUUCAUCUAAAAUGGUGUCGGUCGCCGGCCGGUCGCUGCAUGAACCAUCCAUUGUUGAGAAGCAUGAAAAAUGGAUGGCUGAGCAUGGGCGCACUUACAAGGACGACCUGGAGAAGGAAAUGCGGUUUAAGAUAUUCAAAGAAAACCUUGAAUACAUUGAGAAAGCCAAUGAGGAGGCGAAUCGGACGUACAAGUUAGGCACCAAUGAAUUUUCAGACUUAACUAAUGAGGAGUUUCGUGCUUCAUAUACAGGAUACAGGGUGCCAAGCCAGUCAUCUUCAUCACGGCAAUCCACAACAGCAUCCUUCAAGUAUCAAAACCUGACUGACGUUCCAACUAGCAUGGACUGGAGAGAGAAAGGAGCUGUCACUCCUAUUAAGAACCAAGGUCAAUGUGGUAAGUAAAUCGUAUACUAAAUAUUUAUGAAGUAACUAUAAUAGAUUAUUUAGCCUCCAACCUCUUUCAGAACUCAAACUCAGUUGACCAUCAGCUAAUUAACAAAAACAGCUUGACAACCGUCUGCCAACCCCUGCUGGGGCAUGUUUCAUGUAACUUAAUCAAGCCUUUUUUUUUUCCUUAAUAUGUACGAUGCAGGAGACUGUUGGGCAUUUUCAGCUGUGGCGGCGGUGGAAGGGGUCACUGAGAUUAGUAGUGGUAAUCUUAUUCCACUUUCGGAGCAGCAAAUACUAGACUGCUCAAUAGAUGGUAACCGUGGAUGCGGUGGCGGUUGGAUGGACAAUGCCUUUAAAUAUAUUAUAAACCAGGGUAUUGCCACAGAAGCGGAUUAUCCAUACAAGGAAGUCCAAGGAACUUGUGAAGACGCACAGGUCAAGGUAGCUGCUAAAAUUAGUAACUUUGUAGAUGUAAAACCCAAUGAUGAGCAGGCUUUACUCCAAGCUGUAGCCAUGCAGCCAGUAUCAAUUUGCAUUGAAGGAAGUGGACCAGACUUCCAGAGUUACAAAGGCGGUAUUUUUAACCGAGGAUGUGGAACUCAGUGUUCUCAUGCUGUUGCUAUCGUUGGAUUUGGGGCAACUGAAGAUGGAAUGAAAUAUUGGUUAAUUAAGAAUUCAUGGGGGGAGAGCUGGGGUGAGGCCGGCUACAUGAGGAUUCUCAGAGAUGUUGAAGCACCUGAAGGUCUCUGUGGCAUUGCCACUAAACCUUCCUACCCAGUUGCAUGAGUAGCAGUAUUUUAUAUUAUAAUAUUAUUAGCCGCCUCUUAAUAAUGAUGUCUUCAAGCCUACACAUGCAUUAGCCUCGAAAGGCUUAUACGAACCGUAUGAAUCGUAUGAUUCUUGGUUUUACCUAUGUUGAGUAUUUCAUAAGUUGUAAUUGAACGCCAAUAUUUGGUAUUAGUUAAUGUUAAAUCUCUCGUUUAAAUAUAAGUUUGAUCUUUGCAGUAAUUAGUCAUUUACAUUUAAUGUCACGGAUACUCAGUUCGACCAAGAAAUACACUGUUUAUAUCUCAGUUACUCUGAUAUUUUAUGUGGCAUGUUAUAUGUCGUUCAUUGAUUAAGUUGUAAGAAUAGUACGUAAAUAAUUAAUAAUAAAUUUAUUUAUUAUCAUUUAUGAGACAAUAAAUGAUUAGUGGAACAUUAAUUAAAAUACAAAUUAUUAUUAUUUAUUUAAAAAAUAUAUAUUGGUCAAUGAAAUUAAUGCAAGACAAAAAGUAACAGAAUUUUUUUUUUUGUUAAAAAAAGUAACUGAAUUUUGAUUACACGCUUGAUGUCUGGAAGUACAAUGAUUAUGAAUUUGUGUUAAAUUAGGUCAAAGUUUUAAGUUAAAAUAAUCAAACCUAUAUACUCACACUAACUUUUAAAGUUUGAGUGGAAUUUGCCCGCUUUAAUUGGGGUCUCAUACAGCAAAAAAAAUUUGGCCAUCUUGAAUUUCUUUUUCUAAUUACUUAUAAAAAUUUAAAGGCUUGGUAAUUUCCCUCCCCCAAAUUCUGUCUUUAUUCCUAAGUAAAUUAGUUAGUCAUUAUUUCAAUAAUUAAAAUUAUUCUAAGUUCUAAAUUUUGGGCAUGGAGGGAAAGUUAAGCGCAAGUAGCCGUGACUAUACUAUAUAGUCGCCUAAAGUUAAAUUUUCUCUUUUGGAGACUUCACACACACUUAGUCACUAAUACAUAUUAAUCAGUGGCUAGAACACUUAGCUACUGAAUCUUUCAUUUCCAAAUGAAAAAACUUCAUAUAUUGCAACCAGAAAUGUUAGUCACAUAUAAUUAAGAACUUAAAAAAAGAAAAGAACUAUAUUUCCCAUUUUAACUAUACUCUGUGACUAUCACUAUUACUUUCAAAUAAUUGUGUUAGACGUUUAGUGAUUAAAAUCAUAGUCGUUGAAGUCUUUUACUCACUAAAAUAACAUGAUCGGAUAAAAUCCAAUUAAUUGGUCUGUUUUUUGUGACUAAUCGCUGAUUAGUUAUAAUGUUAUAUAAUGAAAAAUUCGGUGACUUAAAAAAAUAGUCACAAAACAUGGACUAUAGUAGUAAAAUAACACAGAUAUAUGAACUGCAAAUUCCGUGAAUGUGUUUACUUGCUGAAGUGGGAGUAAGGAGUGUGGAUUCCUCCCAUUCCAGCGUUUACUUCCUCAAAAUGGGAAGGGAUUAGGAUUCUCACUCCGUGGUCUCCACCCAUUUUUGGAGUGGGGAGUGGGAGUGGGACUCCCAUUUGGGGAGGCCCUUUUUUGCCCUUUUAUUUUUAAUUUAAUUUAAUUCAAUAUUUUAUAAUUAAUAAAAUAAAAUAAAUAAUAUUAUAUUUAUUUGAAUAAUAAUAUUAUAUUUAACUAAAUAAUAAUUUGCAUUGAUUCUAAGUUAAAAUUAUUUUAAAAUAAUAUUAUUAUAUUAAUAGAGAAUUAAUAAAUAUAAUGUUAUUAUAUUUAUUUUAAAAAUAAUAGUACUAUAUUUAUUUAAUAUUAAUAAUAAUAAAUAGUUUAUUCUAAGAAAAUAUUAAUUUUGUACUAAAUAAUAUUAUAUUAUUAUUUUAUAUAAUAAUAAAUUUAAUAUAAUUAUAUUAAAUAAAAUAAAAUAAGGUUUCAUUUUAUAUUAAAAUUAAAAUUAAUAAUUUAUUGUUCAUAAUUAAGAAUAUUAAUAAUUAUAAUAAAUUUACAAAUAUAAUAAAAUAAAUAUUAUUCAUUAAAUAUAUUUUUUAUUAGUUUUGUAAUUAAAAACUAUAAUUCUUUAAAUAAGGAUAAAAUUAUAAUUUGAAACUAUUUACUCCCAAUCCAAGACAAAGUAAACACAUAAAUUGGAUUCUGAUCUCUAUUUCAUGCUUCCAUUCCAGUAUAAGUAAACAACCUACUUCCACUCCCACUCCACACUCUUAAUCCUAGGAUUCUCACUCCUCAGGAUUCCCAAUCCAAUCCAAAAAGUAAACGCUACCUAAUAGUAGUCAUGAAAUAAUAUAUUAGGUGGUUAAGUUUUAUUUGGUCCCAUAAUAUUUGAACACUAAAAUUCAUUUUUCUUCUAUUGUGAUCAGAUGAGCGACUGUCGCUCACAUGAUCACUACUCCUCUUUAAUAUACUUUCAGAACUCUUAUAUUUUGUGCAUCUAUUUAAUAAAUUUUAAAACUUAGAUUUUACUAUAAACACUAUUUUAAUUUUUAAAAAUAAAUGUGAAAGUGAAAACGCUCCUCAUUAAAAACUGAGAAUCUUCAAUAAUGUUCAAUGUUGAUGCCAAUCUUUUUCAUGGAUUUUUCUUAUAUUUGAUAUUGGCCAAUUCACUAUAUUUAAUUAUAAGACUGGCUCCUCUCCAACUUUAAUUUCCUCUGUUCAUGACUUUAAUUUCCUCUGUUCAUGAUUUCUCUGUCUUCGUUUCAAUUACGUUAAAAACAAAAGAUAAUUUGCAUAUUGAUGCAUGACUUUUCCAAUCAAUUCCAUUAGCCAGAACAGGUUGAGAAGUUAUGAGCCAUAGCUAGUUUCUUGAUCAUAUGCUACUAAGCUUUCCCUAAUUAGUCCCCAGAAACGUUUCUACGGGAACUCUAAUUUGAUUUUCCAUGGACGACGUUAAUUUGUUAAAACCUAAUUAUUUUUACAGUAGAUUACAUUAAUUUUGAGGUUGAAAAGAUAAGAUAAUUUUACCUCCAAUGGCUGUUAAAAAAAAAAGUAAUUAUUUCAUUAAGAAUACAAUGGUGUUAUACAUCUUAAAAUUUCAUUAUAUUUGAUGUAGUAUUCAUUUACUAGUUGGUGAAAUAAUGUAAUUAACUUACUUAGAACUAAGGGUAUAUACAUUGAACUGUCUUAGUAAAGUAAAAUUUUACUAAAAAAUAUAUAUAGUUGUUUGGAGUAGAAUUUUAGCAAAAUAAAAUAGUUGUUUUGUGGUAGCAUUGAGUUUUUUUUUUUUUUUUUUUUGUGAAAGUUUAACAUUAGAGGUAAUAAAGUAUUACAAAAUCUAUAGAAGACAUAGGGUGAUGUUUGGUUGGGAAGGGGAAAAGGAAAGUAAUUUAAGUUCCUUUCUUGUUUUUGUUAUUUGAUUGACUAUAAUUUAUAAGAAUUUAAUUUUCAUUAAAAUUUCAUAUACAUCAUAACAUAGAAUUUAGAUUCCACACCAAAAAGUGAUAAAUUUAAAUUUCUCUAAAAGCUAAAACAUCUAAAAUUACCCCUUCAAAUCUUUUAUUAACUAUGUUUACAAUUAUCAAAUAAUUAUUAUUUACAAUUUUCUUUUAUCAACUUAAUAUUGUAGAUGAAUAAUUUUAUAUUAAUAAAAGUUGAAGUAAUGAAAAUGAUUUAAUAAAUCACUUUAUUUAUUCGAUUAAUUUACAGAAAUAGAAAUAUAAAUUUAAUAGUUGUUGGACCACCGCCAUUGCCGCCGUUGGACCGCACUGUCGCCAUCGAUUCUGCUACAUGGGACAUCAUGCUAGUAUCGCUGGACUUGCCAGCCAACGAGCAACCUCAUUAUUUUGUCAUAGAAGUGAAAAAAUGAAUUUGUUUUCUUCAAAUCCAGUUAAAUUUUUUUUGAAAAUUUUCUAACUUUUUCAGAUCUGGACAAACAUCAAGUAUAUUGGGCAAAUAAGUUGCUUGAAUCUAUAGAUCAUUAAUUUCUUAUAAUUUUCAUAUAAUUCUCGAGUUGGAAUGACAUGCUACAGUGGUGGCCGGUGGCAACAUGCAGCGGCUCCAAUGGCGGCAACAACGACUCUUUUUUUUUUUUGAAGUUUGUCAAACAAAAUUUUUAAAAUUAUAAUAUAUUGGUUAAGAAAUUAUUUGUAUUAUGUCAUAAUUUAUUUAGAAACAAAUUAAAUUAGAUUAAUUAUAAACUAAAAUUAUGUUAAUAAACUUUUUAAAUAGAUAUAAUUACAAAUAUAAUUAUAUUAUUUAAAAUAAUUUUUAUUAGUUAUUUAUAUAUCAUAUUAAAUAAAUUUAUUGUUUAGUUUUUUGAAUUAUAUUUAUGAUAAAUAUUAAAAGUUUAAAACUAAAGUGUGAAAUAGUCUAAAUGAAAAAUAAGGCAUUUUCUUUGUUUGUAUAGUUUUGUAAUAAAUUAAACAUUAGAAAAGAGUUUCAAUCUUCCCUCCUUUCUUCCACUUUCUUCUCUUCUCAUUUCCUUCUCUUCUUCAAACCAAACACCACCCAAGAUAAAAAGUUAAAGGGAGAAAAUUUUACCUCGUGUGACGCUGCAUUUUGUACAAGUAAUUUAACAUACUCGUGUCAAAUUUCAGUAAAUACAAGCAUAAAUGGGUGGGUAAAAAACUCACAACCCACAAUCCAAAUUAAACCCAAACCAAAUUAGGCAGUUAGGUCAGUUUGGACUGGUUGAAAAUUUAUUUAGUUUGGGUUGGAUUCAAUCCAUUUCAAUUUUUGUAUAGAUUCUUAAAGCAGGAAAGACUGCUAAGUGCCAAAAGUCCCUGUAUAAAAUUAUAUAUUUUCAAAAACACCCUUACAAAAAAUAUCUUCGAAUUAAUAUUUUAUAAACUAAGUAAAUCAACAGGAUUUUAACUAUCUCAUUCCCGGAAAUGAUUUCAUCAUUGCCGACGACCGAGAUGUGUUUUUAUGUCGAUCAAUCGAAUGCCAAAUUUUUUAGCCUAUUCAAAUAUAAUACCAUUAUCAGAAAACGAGACCUUAUAGCUGUGAAUCUGCCUCCUCUCCACCUACAGGAGUGGCGGCACCAUGACUUUGCCAAAAUUUUCAAGUUUUUAUAUCAUUUGAUGAAUGUCGUACUGUAACAUAGACCAAAAAAUUCUGAUUUAGAUGAUACCAAAUUUGCCUUCAUCAUGGUUCAUUUGCCGCCGACAACGACAAUGAUGGCACCAGUGAAGCAACAAUCACGCCGGUGGCUUAAAUCAAUUUUUUUAAUAAUUAAUCAAGAAAUAGCAUUGAUUGUCAUAUUAAAUAUUAAUUAAUUUUUUGUAGUUUAUAAAUAGAAAAUAAAAUUUCAAUAAUUUUUGCAUUAAACAGUUUUAAAAUAACAAUUAAGUUUUAUUUCAAAAUUGAAAAAGACAUAAGUAUCCAUUUUGGUCAUUUCUACAAAUAUAGAUAAGUAAUUUUCAAUCAUAACUUGAAAUUUAUUUGGAAAGAAAUUCUUCAAUAAUUUAAAUUUAUCAAAUACGCUAUUGAAUUAUUUUUAGACUAUAAUGCAAUCCAAACAUGUCUUAUGUCAACCCAAACUCAAACCAUAUUAAAAUAGUUUGGUUUGGGCUGGGUUAUAAAGACUUUGGGUUACAUUUAAAUUUAUUUAGUUUGGUUUAGAUUGAACUUAAACCCAACUAAAACCAAUCCAAGCCCACCCAUUUGAUUACAUUUAUCAAUUAGAGAGAAAAGGAAAAGAAAUCCCAAACGGUAUCUAAUAAUAAGUCUGGUACUUAAUAUAAGAUAAUUGAUGCCGCGAUAAAUGGAAGCAGAAUAUUUCUUCUUGUCGAACUUCAGAGAAUGAAAGCUCGGUAGCUCUUUGAUGAAAUGAACUUUGGAGAUAUUUCAUGUAAUAAGAUUAAAUCUGCUUUGGAGACGGAAUCAAACUAACAAGAAGUACAGACUUUAAUUAAAAUCACAAAUUGUGUUUUGUCCUAUGUAGUAGAAUUGCAAAUUUACAACUGAGCCCUGCCUUGGUGGGACAAGGAAAUUGACUGUACCUUAAUUUAGUGGAUAAGACGGACAAAGCCCAAAUUCAUUUGAUACUUGUGCAAGUUGCUGCUGACUGUUGGUGUGUAGCGAGCAAUUUGUGCCGUUUUAUUCAAGCACUACCUCUGUCCAGUCUAUUAGUAUCAAUUGUGAUCUGCCAACGUUUUCCAGUAGACUCCACAACAGUGGGGUGAAAACCGUGUACUGAGUCAUUUUCUGUAGAUUAGUAAGCGGGGCCAAUGCACAAUUAAAUAUUAAAUACCGGGCUAGUCGCUAGUCCCCACAUUAGCAAAGAGUGAGCCCCAUGAGCCAUAAAAAUCCAUCACCUUGCCCUGUGCUGCUGCUUUAUAAACUCACUCAACUCACUCGUUCUCUUCAUUUCAGUUCCAUUCUCAUUAACAUGUCCAACAUGACAACGUUGGAAGAAGAAUCAUCCAUCCUGGAAUUCAUUCGCCAGUUUCUUCUCGGAGACUUUACCUCCUUAGACGACCCAAAUCUCUCUUUUCUCCAGCCUAUGGAGUCAGAAUUCCCUGUGAUCAAAUCCGAACCCGACUCCCCCACCUUUUGUGAAAUAAUAAAACCUGAACCAUUGGACAUAACGUGUUUGGGUUCCAGUAAUU